rnacentral:rRNA from 1 species
GUCCACGCUGUAAACGAUGACGACUAGGUGUGGGGUGGUUCAGUCCACUCCGUGCCGCAGCUAACGCAUUAAGUCGUCCGCCUGGGGGAGUACGGCCGCAAGGUUGAAACUCAAAGGAAUUGACGGGGGCCCGCACAAGCGGUGGAGCAUGUGGUUCAAUUCGAUGCAGAGCGAAGAACCUUACCUGGGCUUGACAUGUGGGAAGUAGGACCCUGAAAGGGGAACGACCUGUUGAGUCAGGAGCCUACACAGGUGGUGCAUGGCUGUCGU